AGCGAACGCUGGCGGCAGGCCGAACACAUGCAAGUCGAACGGAUCCUUCGGGAUUAGUGGCGGACGGGUGAGCAACACGUGGGAACGUGCCCUUUGGUUCGGAACAACUCAGGGAAACUUGAGCUAAUACCGGAUGUGCCCUUCGGGGGAAAGAUUUAUCGCCAUUGGAGCGGCCCGCGUCUGAUUAGCUAGUUAGUGAGGUAAAGGCUCACCAAGGCGACGAUCAGUAGCUGGUCUGAGAGGAUGAUCAGCCACAUUGGGACUGAGACACGGCCCAAACUCCUACGGGAGGCAGCAGUGGGGAAUCUUGCGCAAUGGGCGAAAGCCUGACGCAGCCAUGCCGCGUGAAUGAUGAAGGUCUUAGGAUUGGAAAAUUCUUUCACCGGGGACGAUAAUGACGGUACCCGGAGAAGAAGCCCCGGCUAACUUCGUGCCAGCCGCCGCGGUAAAAC
rnacentral:rRNA from 1 species